rnacentral:tRNA from 1 species
CCUCGGUAGCUCAGCGGUAGAGCGGUCGACUGUUAAUCGAUUGGUCGCAGGUUCGAAUCCCGCCCGGGGAGC